rnacentral:lncRNA from 1 species
UCUUUUCCCGCCUUUAUUUCAGCCACAUUCUCCCUGAGCAGAUGCCACACUCAGCUCCUAAGCAGAAGCGGGGGCUCAGAAGCAGCACCCAGCACCUAAGAGAAGGCCUGAAGCAGCGCUCAGCACCCAGGAGGCACUGUGUGCCCACUGAGUGCAAGAAGCAAUUGCCACCAGGACCAGCACCCCUGCCACCACCAAGCGUCCUCCGUCCAUCGCCCAUCUCCGCAUCACGGGCUGGGACACGCUGCUUUUUUGGCAAGCCGCUGUUCAGAAGACACUGUUCCUGAAUUCAGGGAAUCAAAAAAUAAAAAUAAAAAGAUCUGAGAACAACCGCUUUGACUUCUUAGCUCUGAUGAAGUGCAUUCGCCUUGACAGUGACAUAAAAUGUAACUUCAGGAAGCUUUUUUUGUUCUUCGUGCUUUUAUCUCAUUAAGGGUUGGAUGAGGUUUCCAAUUUCACAUCAUUAAAUUCAAGGUCUGAUCCAUCUAGUGGUGAGAAAGUCAUAACUUCUGUUAAAAGAAGUAUUUGUGUUCUCGAAAUAGUAUUGGCUUUAAUCUCCAUAUCAAAAUGAAAGGUCUGGGCUUGGAUGAGAAAUAGCUCUUGCUUUGGGGACAUUCUGAGCCAACCCUCAGGGGCAUUUAGUGGGAGGCUCCAGCGCCCCAUCUUCUGACUUGCAGGUUAAAAUCUCCCACUCCUGGACCAUCUGAUCAAAGGCACAGUUGCCAAGUCUUAAAGGUUCGUGGAAACACCUGUUUGCCCCCUUUAGCAACAGGCCCAUGGGUCUGGGGACAGGGCCAAGGGGUCGUUCCUCGGUUUCUGAGACCAUCUUGCCCCUUUGCUGGUGGGCGAUGCCCCAGAGGCGGCUGUGUGAGUGGUUAACACCAGACAAGCUGAGACCUGUUCUGGCUGGGACACGGCCAUGCCUUCCACGAGGCUUUAUGUACCGACACCGCAGCCAGCUGCCCCAGAGGAGCUGCUUCCCGGCCGCUCUGACACUCCGAGCCUGCUGAGCGCAGCCUUCCGGCCAGGCUGCACUUCUCCGGGCCCUGCCUCAUUCACAGGGCAUCCUUGGCUGGCUUUCUCCUUUGGCGGCUGGGAAGGUUCUGAGGCUCUUCUGGCCUGCGGCUGUGAGAUUUCUACUUUCUUCCUGGGUGGGAAGAGCAGGCGGCCCUGAAGAGCCUGUCCAGGGGGUGCUGGGCUCCACCUGGGCAGGAAGGUGGUCCUGUGCCCAGAGACCAGGGAAGCCUGGGAGUGUGUCGUCCUAGAUGGGGGGGUGGGGAGACAACACCCGAAGAGCCUCCAGGGCUCCCUUUCUAGAAAGGGAAGCUGAGUCAGAGAGGGAAGGGGACUGCAAGUUAGAGACAGAGCAAGGAUCAGACGGGGGGGUUCCAGCUCCUGUCCCUCCACACUGGCCACAGCACAGGGGGGCCAGGUCCUUUUCCUCCCCCCAGCCCUCCCCCCACCUCGCAGGAGGAGCUCCCAGGAUUCUACUGCUUGGUGGCUGCCCCAGCAGACACCCCCCCAGGC